UUAUGAAACUGAAAAUUAAAUGUAAAUAUAAAAUUAAUUGAUUAAGUGAAUGAAUGAAUGGUAGCCUUACUGGAUAUCCUAAGAGAUAGUGGAUGGACCGACUAUAUAGGGAACCCUAUCGUGAACGUCGCCUCAUGCUAGACGGGGUAUCGAGGAUUGGUAUUUUGGCGCUCAUAUCGGACAGAGUAUGGGAAUGGCCCAUUUCACCUUCAUACCGGACGUGGUAUUGAGGGAUGGUAUUUUUGACGCUCAUACCGAACAGGGUAUGGAUACGACAAAUUAGUUGACAAUGUUGAAUAAUGGUUCACGCUUAGUAGGGACAUCCCUAUGGACCCCCAUGGAUACCAGUAGGCAGAUAAAGAAGAAAAGUUAUUCUUCUUACUUGAAUAUGAGAUUAUGAUGUUGUUGAGUUAUUGUCUCUAUGGGUCGAUUUUAGAA
rnacentral:lncRNA from 1 species